AAUGUCGUAACAAGGUUUUCCGUAGGUGAACCUGCGGAAGGAUCAUUACCAAAGGAAGAACAGAAAAUCCACUUCAGGGGUAGGCGGACCUGACGGACGUCUUGAACCCGUGUUGGGACCACCCUAUACCUUGCGAAAACCGCCACCGUCCUAGCGGUGGCGGACGAUGAAUCAGGCACGGUGGCCCGUUUACUUCACAUAAUUCCCUGCGUACCACUUCCCACGUUGCUUCCCCUGCAAUCCUCACUCAUUUGGUGGACGCGGGGGCAGGUCUCCAACAAAAGCGCACCUGCACUCAAUCGCAGUCAGACGACCAAUUGACAAAGUCAUUAAAAC
rnacentral:misc_RNA from 1 species